rnacentral:rRNA from 1 species
UACAGAGGUCUCAAGCGUUGGUCGGAUUCAUUGGGCGUAAAGGGGGCGUAGGUGGCGGGGCAAGUCUGGUGUGAAAUCCCGGGGCUCAACCCUGGAACUGCACUGGAUACUGCUUUGCUAGAGUACUGGAGAGGGAACUGGAAUUUACGGUGUAGCAGUGAAAUGCGUAGAUAUCGUAAGGAAGACCAGUGGCGAAGGCGAGUUCCUGGACAGUUACUGACGCUGAGGCACGAAGGCCAGGGGAGCAAACGGG